rnacentral:rRNA from 1 species
UACGGAGGGUGCAAGCGUUAUCCGGAUUUACUGGGUUUAAAGGGUGCGUAGGUGGGUUGGUAAGUCAGUGGUGAAAUACUUUCGCUUAACGAAGGAACUGCCAUUGAUACUACCAGUCUUGAAUACAGUGGAGGUAGGCGGAAUGCGUCAUGUAGUGGUGAAAUGCUUAGAUAUGACGCAGAACACCAAUUGCGAAGGCAGCUUGCUACACUGUUAUUGACACUGAGGCACGAAAGCGUGGGGAUCAAACAGG